rnacentral:tRNA from 1 species
GCUUCGGUAGCUCAGUUGGCUAGAGCCUUAGAGUCGGCAGUUCGAGUCUGCCCCGAAGCCCA